GACGGAGGGGGCUAGCGUUGUUCGGAAUUACUGGGCGUAAAGAGUGCGUAGGUGGUUUAGUAAGUUGGAAGUGAAAGCCCGGGGCUUAACCUCGGAAUAGCUUUCAAAACUACUAAUCUAGAGUGUAGUAGGGGAUGAUGGAAUUCCUAGUGUAGAGGUGAAAUUCUUAGAUAUUAGGAGGAACACCGGUGGCGAAGGCGGUCAUCUGGGCUACAGCUGACACUGAUGCACGAAAGCGUGGGGAGCAAACAGG
rnacentral:rRNA from 1 species